GGAGAGGUCGCAUAGUUGGUCUAGUGCGCGGUCCUGGAAAGACCGUGUACCGAAAGGUACCGGAGGUUCGAAUCCUCUCCUCUCCGCCA
rnacentral:tRNA from 6 species